rnacentral:rRNA from 1 species
UACGUAGGGGGCAAGCGUUGUCCGGAUUUACUGGGCGUAAAGAGCUCGUAGGCGGUUUGUCGCUUCGUCUGUGAAAACCAGCAGCUCAACUGCUGGCUUGCAGGCGAUACGGGCAGACUUGAGUACUGCAGGGGAGACUGGAAUUCCUGGUGUAGCGGUGAAAUGCGCAGAUAUCAGGAGGAACACCGGUGGCUAAGGCGGGUCUCUGGGCAGUAACUGACGCUGAGGAGCGAAAGCGUGGGUAGCGAACAGG